GAUGAACGCUAGCGGCAGGCCUAAUACAUGCAAGUCGGACGGGAUUCAGGAGCUUGCUUCUGAUGAGAGUGGCGCACGGGUGCGUAACACGUAUGUAACCUACCUUUAUCAGGGGGAUAGCCUCUCGAAAGAGAGAUUAAGCCCGCAUAAAAUCACAGCACAGCAUUGUGUAAUGAUCAAAUAUUUAUAGGAUAAAGAUGGGCAUGCGGAACAUUAGCUAGAUGGCGGGGUAACGGCCCACCAUGGCGACGAUGUUUAGGGGAUCUGAGAGGAUGGCCCCCCACACUGGUACUGAGACACGGACCAGACUCCUACGGGAGGCAGCAGUAAGGAAUAUUGGUCAAUGGGCGGAAGCCUGAACCAGCCAUGCCGCGUGCAGGAAGACGGCCCUACGGGUUGUAAACUGCUUUUAUACGGGAAUAAACCCAGAUACGUGUAUCUGGCUGAAUGUACUGUAGGAAUAAGGAUCGGCUAACUCCGUG
rnacentral:rRNA from 1 species